rnacentral:rRNA from 1 species
UACGUAGGGUGCGAGCGUUAAUCGGAAUUACUGGGCGUAAAGCGUGCGCAGGCGGUGAUGUAAGACCGAUGUGAAAUCCCCGGGCUCAACCUGGGAACUGCAUUUGUGACUGCACGGCUCGAGUGCGGCAGAGGGGGAUGGAAUUCCGCGUGUAGCAGUGAAAUGCGUAGAUAUGCGGAGGAACACCGAUGGCGAAGGCAAUCCCCUGGGCCUGCACUGACGCUCAUGCACGAAAGCGUGGGGAGCAAACAGG